AGCAGCAGGGGGGCUUUCGGGUGACGGCAGAAGAAGGGACAGGCUCCUGCUUCUUCUCUUUUUCUCUUCUUGCUAUCUACUGCUCACAGGGCUUCAGUAAUGGAGAUCCUUCAAAGUAACCAACGAACAUGAAUAAACACCUCAAGCCUAUUUACGUAGACACUCCGUUGUCGAACCACGUUAAUUUCGUUUCAUGAUUUCGAUCCAUAUUUGAUGUUUACUUCUUCUUUUUUUGAAGCAUGAUAUUUGGUGUUUACUGUUUGUUUUAUCAUUUCAUUAUUUGGUUGUGCUAUCAAUUAAUGGUAGUAACACAGCCAUGGCGUAUCCAGCUCCAAUAAUUGAUGAAGCCAUCCCGCUGGUCUUCUCCGAAAUACACCUAGGCCACUGAGGACCCUAAUUGAGGAAUGCUGCCAUGAUGAGCCUAACCAGCUACCGUGUUUCAGUGAGAUAAUUUGUCGAUUGGUAGAGUUGGGUCGCCUGAGGCUGGCAUUGACAAGACAAGUAACGCUCUAGCAGCUGCUUUUGCAGCUGUUGGGGUGGUCAAGACUUUGACCCAAUGUUGACUAAACCCCUAAACAGAAAAGUGUGGUUUUCAGAGAUAAACAUUUAUUGCUCGAUGAAAAUUUAGCAUAAUUGCGUAGACACAACAAAAUCUAGUAUCAAAGACUACCGAUUUUUGGGGAUCGAUUGAAGAAUUAUUAUCUUAGGAAAAAAUAAAAAUAUAUACCUAGCAUUUAUCAUAAAAUAUUACUCUACUCAAUUACAAGUGUACCCAAAUUUAUAAUUAUUUAGAUGAUAAAUAUUUAAAAUUUUCGUAAGUAUAAGUUCACAUGGGUGAAAAUAAGUCUUGCGGUUGUUGCCUGUAAUUUUUAAAAUCGUUAUAACAGAAAAUUAUUAUGUCUCA